rnacentral:lncRNA from 1 species
CCCCACGCGGGCUGUCCUCAUGCUGGCUCUCCUGGGCUCAGGCUUGGGUCGCUUGGCCCCGGGGCCACCGACUCAGGUAGAGCGAGCCCAUGAGCAGGGCAGCACCUGUUCCAAGGCGGGUGGGGAGGCGGCUGCUUCCCCUUCUCUGUUGUUGGUGCGUUCGUUCCCGCUCUUACUCUUGUUUCUUUUUUCUUGGGCCUGAGGUCCUGACCCCGUGCUCCCAGCCGUGGCUUAUCCCCGCUUGGGACUUAACAAGAACCUGCCCGGGAUGGUCGCGCCGCUGCCCCGGGACACGGAGCUUCCUCUGUGUGACACAGAAGCACGGCGAGGCUCCCAGGGCGCCCACGAUCGCCUGGCGGGAUCGGCUUAUCAUCAGAUGUAACGAGGAUUCAAAGACCAACACCUCUGAGCUCCACCGGCCAGCCACAUCUGGAAGGCUCCGAGACAGAAGGAAGUGUGACCUCUUGUCCUUGAAUUUUGCCUUCAUGGUCAUUAGUGUAUCUUCUUUUGUGUCAUGUCUAUUUUGGUCUUGCUCAUUUAAAAACUGGAUCAUUUGUCUCUUUGCCGUUGAUUUAUAAGCUCUGGGGUCAAGUCCUUUGUCCGAUA